CGACCACAGCACCAGUAACCUUGUCUGAUGUGAUCAUUAACCUUUCUGGAAAAAGCUGCUGGCCGUUGUCUGAGGCUCGUCAGUAGAAUGUGAGGGGAGCCUCACAGAUACCGCACAGACUAUUCAAGACUGGUUUACGUUGAGAGCUCUUGCUCUACUUCAGGGGGGCAGGAAAAUGAGGUUACAACAAUUUCUUUUUGCCUGUCUGCUUUUCGUGAUGAGUCUUCUUCUUAUCAACGGACAGAGACCAGCUAAUUUGGCUGUGAGAAGAAAAUUGCACAGACACAACUGCCUUCAGAGGAGAUGCGUGCCUCUCCAUUCACGGGUGCCCUUCCCCUGAGAAGGGAUAAGAAAGAAUUAACACCAGCCUCUGUGGAUUCAAACUCUGACCACAAGCUGACUCACUGGUGGUCACUGGGUGGACCUUCUCUAGAUAAUCGUACCUGGUCUACCAGAAAAGGAAUGAAGGAAAGAUACCCACCCACACCAUAGUGUGAUUGCUUAGAAGUUCCUGUACAAAAAGGAAUCAUUUGAAAGCACCUGGGAUGGUUUAUUAGUCUUACAGGAUUCUCUUCCUGGUUUCUCUUUAGAGGGGAAAAUAACAAAUUCAAAAGCAAUUCCAGUCUGAAGCACAAUUAUUUGCUUGUAUAUUAAAAAUCUCUCAUCUUUUUCUGCACAUUACUAUUCCUAGAGGAGUUAAAAUAAAAACACUUUUUAAUGUCUUAGUACAAGAAUUAAAAUUUUUCUUUCAUAAUUCUAUAAUUCUCCACAAGUAUUAAAAUGUUUGUAUACGUUUGUAUAUGUUUGAGUGAUUUUUUUUUUCCAAAAAUGCUAAAUCUCUAAUCAAAUGCUUUGACCGUUUGGCUUUACAGAAUAAGGAUACAUUAAUUGGUUCAUUGAUUAUUUAUAUAGUGAAACUAAGAAGCUAUUAAUUGCUAUCAAUUUUAUAUUAUAGGCUUUAAUGUUUAUGAAAGUAUUUUUAUUUUGAACAAAUACCCAUAAAGUCAUAAAAGAAAGUUUGAAAUACUAAGAUGUUAAUUUCUGAAUCUGUCUCUCAUCAUGUAAUUGUAAGAAACCAGUGCUUUAUUUCCUUCCCAAUGUGAGGUCUUCCCAAGUUGUUAAAUACACUCUUAAUUUGUAUUUAUUAAAAGACUAAAGUUAGCACAAUGCCAUGAAGUUUUUAUUUUACUGUAAGUUGAUUCCAGGUAUGAAAUUUAUGAAAUCUUGAUUAGAAAUUUUGCUUGUAAACAUUGUAGAGUGGAAGAAACAAUAAACCGUUAACCCUUAUUUUGA